rnacentral:rRNA from 1 species
UAUACUACCCGACGACUGGCAUUCAUCGUUUACGGUGUGGACUACCAGGGUAUCUAAUCCUGUUUGCUCCCCACACUUUCGCACCUCAGCGUCAGUAUCGAGCCAGUGAGCCGCCUUCGCCACUGGUGUUCCUCCAAAUAUCUACGAAUUUCACCUCUACACUUGGAAUUCCACUCACCUCUCUCGAACUCAAGACUGGGAGUUUUAAAGGCAGUUCCAGGGUUGAGCCCUGGGAUUUCACCUCUAACUUUCCAAUCCGCCUACGUGCGCUUUACGCCCAGUAAUUCCGAACAACGCUAACCCCCUCCGUAUUACCGCGGCUGCUGGCACGGAGUUAGCCGGGGUUUCUUUACCUGCUACUGUCAUUAUCAUCACAGGCGAAAGAGCUUUACGACCCUAAGGCCUUCUUCACUCACGCGGCAUGGCUAGAUCAGGCUUGCGCCCAUUGUCUAAGAUUCCCCACUGCUGCCUCCCGUAGGAGUCUGGGCCGUGUCUCAGUCCCAGUGUUGCUGAUCAUCCUCUAAAACCAGCUAUAGAUCGUAGACUUGGUAGGCCUUUACCCCACCAACUAUCUAAUCUAACGCGGGCCGAUCCUUCUCCGAUAAAUCUUUCCCCCGAAGGGCGUAUACGGUAUUACUCUUCGUUUCCAAAGGCUAUUCCGUAGAAAAGGGUACGUUCCCACGCGUUACUAACCCGUCCGCCACUAAGCCCGAGGGCUUCGUCCGACUUGCAUGUGUUAGGCCUGCCGCCAGCGUUCGUUCUGAGCCAGGAUCAAACUC